rnacentral:rRNA from 1 species
AUUGAACGCUAGCGGGAUGCUUUACACAUGCAAGUCGAACGGCAGCGCGGACUUCGGUCUGGCGGCGAGUGGCGAACGGGUGAGUAAUGUAUCGGAACGUGCCCAGUAGCGGGGGAUAACUACGCGAAAGCGUAGCUAAUACCGCAUACGCCCUACGGGGGAAAGCAGGGGAUCGUAAGACCUUGCACUAUUGGAGCGGCCGAUAUCGAAUUAGCUAGUUGGUGAGGUAACGGCUCACCAAGGCGACGAUCCGUAGCUGGUUUGAGAGGACGACCAGCCACACUGGGACUGAGACACGGCCCAGACUCCUACGGGAGGCAGCAGUGGGGAAUUUUGGACAAUGGGGGCAACCCUGAUCCAGCCAUCCCGCGUGUGCGAUGAAGGCCUUCGGGUUGUAAAGCACUUUUGGCAGGAAAGAAACGUCGCGGGCUAAUACCCCGUGGAACUGACGGUACCUGCAGAAUAAGCACCGGCUAACUACGUG